GGGCUCAUGGUCCAACGGGACGACUCCAGUUCGGCAGACUGGCAAUCCGGGUUCGAUUCCCGGUGGGUCCA
rnacentral:tRNA from 1 species